rfam:Mucilaginibacter lappiensis strain ATCC BAA-1855 genome assembly, contig: Ga0104715_119
GAGGCGUAUCCCGAAAAGCCUUUAACAGAGUAGGGG